rnacentral:rRNA from 1 species
GACGAACGCUGGCGGCGUGCUUAACACAUGCAAGUCGAACGGAAAGGCCCUGAUCUUGUGGGGUGCUCGAGUGGCGAACGGGUGAGUAACACGUGAGUAACAUGCCCUUGACUUUGGGAUAACUUCUGGAAACUGGGGCUAAUACCGGAUAGGAGCUCCUGCUGCAUAGUGGGGGAUGGAAAGUUUCGGCGGUUCGGGAUGGACUCGCGGCUUAUCAGCUUGUUGGGGGGGUAGUGGCUUACCAAGGCUUUGACGGGUAGCCGGCCUGAGAGGGUUACCGGCCACAUUGGGACUGAGAGAGGGACCAGACUCCAACGGGACGCAGCAGGGGGGAAUAUUACACAAUGAGCGGAAGCCUGAUACAGCAACGCCGCGUGCGGGAUGACGGCCUUCGGGUUGUAAACCGCUUUCUCCGGAGACGAAGCGUGAGUGACGGUAAUGGGUAAAGAAGCAACGGCUAACUACGUG